GAUGAACGCUGGCGGCGUGCCUAAUACAUGCAAGUCGAGCGAACAGACGAUGCGCUUGCUCCUCUGACGUUAGCGGCGGACGGGAGAGUAACACGUGGAUCACCUACCUAUAAUACUGGUAUCACUUCGGGACACCGGCGCUAAUACCGGAUAACAUGCUGAACCGCAUGGUUCAACGGUGAAAGUCGGUUUUGCUGUCUCUUAUCGAUGCAUCCGGGUCGCAUUGGCUAGUUGGUAAGGUAACGGCUUACCAAGGCAACGAUGCGUAGCCGACCUGAGAGAGGGGUAGGCCACCUUGGAGGUGGAACGGCGUCAAGACUACUAAGGGACGCAGCAGUCGGCAAUCUUCGGCAGUAGGCGAGAGCCUGACGGAGCGACGCCAAGUGAGUGAAGAAGGUCUUCGGAUCGUAAAACUCUGUUAUUAGGGGAGAACAAAUGUGGAAGUAGCUAUGCACGUCUUGACGGUACCUAAUCAGAAAGCAACGGCUAACUACGUG
rnacentral:rRNA from 1 species